rnacentral:rRNA from 1 species
AGCGAACGCUGGCGGCGUGCCUAACACAUGCAAGUCGAACGUGAAAAGGGAAACCUGAGUAAAGUGGCGUACGGGUGAGUAACGCGUAGGUAAUCUACCCCAGAAUCUGGAAUAACCUGCCGAAAGGCGGGCUAAUACUGGAUAGAGCGAGGGAACUCGUAAGAGAGUUUUUCGGGAAAGGGAGCCCGCAAGGGCCUUCGUUCUGGGAUGAUCCUGCGUCUCAUUAGCUAGUUGGUAAGGUAACGGCUUACCAAGGCGAUGAUGAGUAGCUGGUCUGAGAGGAUGAUCAGCCACACUGGAACUGAAACACGGUCCAGACCCCUACGGGAGGCAGCAGUGGGGAAUCUUGCGCAAUGGACGAAAGUCUGACGCAGCCACGCCGCGUGAGUGAAGAAGGCCUUCGGGUUGUAAAGCUCUGUCGGAUGGGACGAACAUCUUCAUAGUGAAUAGCUAUGAGGACUGACGGUACCAUCAAAGGAAGCACCGGCUAACUCCGUG